CGUGUAGGCGGCCUAAUAAGUUAGAAGUGAAACCUAUCGGCUCAACUGAUAGCCUGCUUCUAAACUGCUAAGCUUGAGUGCAGAAGAGGGGAGUGGAAUUCCCAGGUGUAGCGGUGAAAUGCGUAGAUAUUGGGAGGAACACCAGUGGCGAAAGCGGCUCCCUGGUCUGUAACUGACGCUGAGGCGCGAAAGCGUGGGUAGCAAACA
rnacentral:rRNA from 1 species